UACGAAGGGGGCUAGCGUUGUUCGGAAUCACUGGGCGUAAAGGGCGCGUAGGCGGCCUGAUAAGUCGGGGGUGAAAGCCUGUGGCUCAACCACAGAAUUGCCUUCGAUACUGUUAGGCUUGAGACCGGAAGAGGUAAGUGGAACUGCGAGUGUAGAGGUGAAAUUCGUAGAUAUUCGCAAGAACACCAGUGGCGAAGGCGGGUCUCUGGGCCGAUACUGACGCUGAGGAGCGAAAGCGUGGGGAGCGAACAGG
rnacentral:rRNA from 1 species